GGCGAACGGGUGAGUAACGCGUGAGGAACCUGCCUUUCAGUGGGGGACAACAGUUGGAAACGACUGCUAAUACCGCAUAACAUACGGAGACCGCAUGAUUUCCGUAUCAAAGAUUUAUUGCUGAAAGAUGGCCUCGCGUCUGAUUAGAUAGUUGGUGAGGUAACGGCUCACCAAGUCGACGAUCAGUAGCCGGACUGAGAGGUUGAACGGCCACAUUGGGACUGAGAUACGGCCCAGACUCCUACGGGAGGCAGCAGUGGGGAAUAUUGGUCAAUGGGCGAGAGCCUGAACCAGCCAAGUAGCGUGCAGGAUGACGGCCCUAUGGGUUGUAAACUGCUUUUAUCGGGGGAUAAAGUGCGGGACGUGUCCCGUUUUGUAGGUACCCGAUGAAUAAGGACCGGCUAAUUCCGUGCCAGCAGCCGCGGUAAUACGGAAGGUCCGGGCGUUAUCCGGAUUUAUUGGGUUUAAAGGGAGCGCAGGCCGGAGGUCAAGCGUGACGUGAAAUGUAGCCGCUCAACGGCUGAACUGCGUCGCGAACUGGCUUUCUUGAGUGAGUUCGAUGUGGGCGGAAUUCGUGGUGUAGCGGUGAAAUGCUUAGAUAUCACGAAGAACUCCGAUUGCGAAGGCAGCCCACAAGGCCUUUACUGACGCUAAAGCUCGAAGGUGCGGGUAUCGAACAGGAUUAGAUACCCUGGUAGUCCGCACGGUAAACGAUGGAUGCCCGCUGUUUGCGAUAUACUGUGAGCGGCCAAGAGAAAUCGUUAAGCAUCCCACCUGGGGAGUACGCCGGCAACGGUGAAACUCAAAGGAAUUGACGGGGGCCCGCACAAGCGGAGGAACAUGUGGUUUAAUUCGAUGAUACGCGAGGAACCUUACCCGGGCUUGAACUGCAGCCGAACGAUAGAGAGAUCUUGAGGCCCUUCGGGGCGGCUGUGGAGGUGCUGCAUGGUUGUCGUCAGCUCGUGCCGUGAGGUGUCGGCUUAAGUGCCAUAACGAGCGCAACCCUUUUCGUCAGUUGCCAUCAGGUGAUGCUGGGCACUCUGGCGACACUGCCACCGUAAGGUGUGAGGAAGGUGGGGAUGACGUCAAAUCAGCACGGCCCUUACGUCCGGGGCUACACACGUGUUACAAUGGGGGGUACAGAGAGUCGGUGCAUGGCAAUAUGCAUCUAAUCCUUAAAGCCUUCCUCAGUUCGGAUUGGGGUCUGCAACCCGACCCCAUGAAGCUGGAUUCGCUAGUAAUCGCGCAUCAGCCAUGGCGCGGUGAAU
rnacentral:rRNA from 1 species